AGGUCUAGCUCUACUGCAAAAUGAGGCUAUAGAAGGAGUGGCUACCCUUUUACAUGGAUUAGCAUCCCAGAGUGCUGAACACUGGGAAAGGCAGCCAGACCAGAAGUCCAGCGAUCCUGCCUGUGAAAGAGAAGGCUAAAGGUAUUUGAGUUGGGAUAACCUGAUCUGUGGAGGGAAGAUAAGCUUCAUUUGUUUGAAAGCAGAAUUGGAGCCAUGGGACCCUGGACAUUUCCCUCAAUAGCAGGAGCUGCCUUGAGGAUAUGGACUUGAGGCAAAGACGUUCUCUUUGGAGAUACAAGCUGCGCCAUGUGAUGACAUUUUGGUCAAAGAUGGACUGCAUGCAUGAUGCUCAGCUGACUUGUAAGAUUGUGAUGGACACAGAGCC